rnacentral:rRNA from 1 species
UACGAAGGGGGCUAGCGUUGCUCGGAAUCACUGGGCGUAAAGCGCACGUAGGCGGGUCCUUAAGUCAGGGGUGAAAUCCCGGAGCUCAACUCCGGAACUGCCUUUGAUACUGGGGAUCUUGAGUCCGGAAGAGGUGAGUGGAACUCCGAGUGUAGAGGUGAAAUUCGUAGAUAUUCGGAAGAACACCAGUGGCGAAGGCGGCCUGCUGGGCAGUUUAGCUGACACUGAGGCGCGACAGCGUGGGGAGCAAACAGG